rnacentral:rRNA from 1 species
GUGGGGAAUAUUGGCCAAUGGGCGAAAGCCUGAUCCAGCCAUGUCGCGUGUGUGAAGAAGGUCUUCGGAUUGUAAAGCACUUUAAGUUGGGAGGAAGGGCAGUAAGUUAAUACCUUGCUGUUUUGACGUUACCGACAGAAUAAGCACCGGCUAACUUCGUGCCAGCAGCCGCGGUAAUACGAAGGGUGCAAGCGUUAAUCGGAAUUACUGGGCGUAAAGCGCGCGUAGGUGGUUUUGUAAGUUGGAGGUGAAAUCCCCGGGCUCAACCUGGGAACUGACUCCAAAACUACUGAGGUAGAGUACGGUAGAGGGUAGUGGAAUUUCCUGUGUAGCGGUGAAAUGCGUAGAUAUAGGAAGGAACACCAGUGGCGAAGGCGACUACCUGGACUGAUACUGACACUGAGGUGCGAAAGCGUGGGGAGCAAACAGGAUUAGAAACCCCGGUAGUCC